GCAGACACAUUCCAGCCAAUCAGCAGCAGACCCUCCCUCCCAGACCCUUCCACCUCCUGGACAGCAUCCAUUUUGAAGCUGCAUUCUUAGUGAGCUGUCCAGGAGGUGGGAGGGUCUGGGAGGGAGGGUCUGCUGCUGAUUGGCUGGAAUGUGUCUG
rnacentral:miRNA from 1 species